CCUACGGGUGGCAGCAGUGGGGAAUAUUGCACAAUGGGGGAAGCCCUGAUGCAGCGACGCCGCGUGAGCGAAGAAGUAUCUCGGUAUGUAAAGCUCUAUCAGCAGGGAAGAAGAUGACGGUACCUGACUAAGAAGCACCGGCUAAAUACGUGCCAGCAGCCGCGGUAAUACGUAUGGUGCAAGCGUUAUCCGGAUUUACUGGGUGUAAAGGGAGCGUAGACGGAGAAGCAAGUCUGGAGUGAAAGCCUGGGGCUCAACCCCGGGACUGCUUUGGAAACUGUUAUUCUUGAGUGCCGGAGAGGUAAGCGGAAUUCCUAGUGUAGCGGUGAAAUGCGUAGAUAUUAGGAGGAACACCAGUGGCGAAGGCGGCUUACUGGACGGUAACUGACGUUGAGGCUCGAAAGCGUGGGGAGCAAACAGGAUUAGAUACCCCUGUAGUC
rnacentral:rRNA from 1 species